UACGAAGGGGGCGAGCGUUGUUCGGAAUCACUGGGCGUAAAGGGCGCGUAGGCGGCCCUCCUUGUCGCGCGUGAAAGCCCCGGGCUCAACCUGGGAAUUGCGCGCGAAACGGGGGGGCUUGAGUUCGGGAGAGGAGCGUGGAAUUCCCAGUGUAGAGGUGAAAUUCGUAGAUAUUGGGAAGAACACCGGUGGCGAAGGCGGCGCUCUGGACCGAGACUGACGCUGAGGCGCGAAAGCGUGGGGAGCAAACAGG
rnacentral:rRNA from 1 species